UCCACUUAAAUUUCUUUACAAAAUUUUUGCACAAAAUUCUAAAGAUCAGAAGCAAUAAGAUCCUAUUUAUACAUCAUUUUCAAAAUCGAGCAAGGCCGGAUCUAAUUGGGCUGCCACCAACUUUUCCUUGCAUUGACCUCGGCAGUCUUUGAAUCCUUCGUAGUAUACUUUCAUAAUCUCUGCACCGAGUUCAUCAGAAGUCCGAUAGUCCUGCUGAAUCUGCUUGAGCAAUUCUUCGGUCAUGGGGGGAUCCCGUUCCCGAAGUACCUUAAUCUUACUACGAAGUUUACAGCGCUUAGCCCUGUGGGCCUUCCUAUCAUCCCGAGCCUUUGUAUGAACUUCGCUAAGUUGUGCUGCCAGGUCUCGAUGUGCUGUAACAAUCUCUUCAUUCUUAUUCUUCAGAGCUUCAGUCUCUGCAACGAAGUGGACAUUCAUGUUGGCCAAUUUAUGCUCACUGGCUUUUGUUGUCUUUAGUUCUUCCCUGACUGAGACCAACACUUCGUGAGUUUCCCUCAGAUCAUCUCUAUUUUGGGCCAAUUCCCUCUAGAGACCUUCAUUGGCACGAAAAGCGGAUUCGCAUUCCUCUCUUUCCCGAGCCAAUGUGGCCUUCAACAUGUUGAUCUCCCUUUUCAUGGUCUCUUCAUCAGACUCGGCAUUUAUGUGUCUAGGACGUAAACGCCCGAAGACUGCAUUUGCCUGCACAUAUUCGGCAGUAUCCAGUCAAUUUUAGAUAUUUAAACAAGAAAGGAAAUAUUUAACCAAGAAAAGUGUCACUUACUUUUGCCAAAUAACUCAUGCCUUCGUCAAGAAAAUUCCCGUUCGUAUGAUCAUUAAAUCGAUGAUCGUCAUUUUCCCGAACGAAGGCAUCAAAGAGGUGGAAGGGAAAAUUGGCAUUAUACCGAGGCCACAAGGUCGGCAUUCCAGUAGCCUCGUCAUGGAAUUUUUGUGAUGAAGGCCUUGGGGGGGAAGGCCUUGGUUGGUCACGAAUAGGAGAAGGAUCCAUAUAUAAAUUUUUUGUGGAAGAUGAUUGAGCUGGAACAGGAUCGGGAACUGAGGAAUGUACAGGUGUUGAACUUGGAUGACUGUUAGAUGGUCGUUUCCUCUUUCGAGAUGGAGUCGUAGCGGGUUCAGUUCGCUCUUCUUCAUUAGUAGUUCGAGUCUCCAUUGGGAUCAUUGGGGAGAGAACACUCGAAGAAGGCACCCUCAGGUCUUCGGCAGUCAAAGGAGUAACUUGGGUCUUUAGCUUCUUGAUUCGAAGGGCCUGUCUGCGAUCGCUUGUAGGAAGAUCAAGUAGGCUCCUUCGAACUGUUGUAGAUUUGGCAACUGGUGGCGCUGGGUUAACAGCUGGUGGCGUUGGGUCAGCAGCUGGUGGUGUUGGGUCAGCGACUGGCGGUGUUUGGUCAGUGAUUGGUGGUGGUAAGUCAGCAGUUGGCGGUACCGAUUCGGCGAUAGGUGGGGGUAUCGGAUUGACAUUUGAUUCAGAUUCAGAAAAACCUUCAGAAUCUGAUGGUAUAGAAAUCCGUUUGGGCUUUCGAGCGACACUCUUUCUUCGACGUGGUUUGAGUUGUAUUUCUGGUAAAAUGGGCUCUUCAAUUUCGGGCUCAAUGGUUCGAGAUUCGACAUUGAUUUGAGGUGCUUCGGUAGGAGGUGUCUCAAUAGGUGGUUGGAAUUUAGAAGAAGCUUCCGGUUGUGAAGGUUCAGCACCAACCUUUGUAGACUUUCCGACUACAUUAUCUUCGGACGGGAUUUCCUGCUGGGAGGAUUCGGCAGUGACUUCUACGGACUUUCCAGCUAGGAAAUCCUCCAUCUCCUUCACCUCCGAAGACGAUGGUUUGAUCAAAGUUACUGCAGAAGAUUAACAGUUCUACAUCAAAAUCCAUACUACAGCAAUUUUCAAAAUAUUGAUAAAGUAAAUCCAUACUUACAUUUGUGGUCGUAUAACCACGCUUGUUUAGAUAGAAGUCCGUGUUUCCACUCUUCCUUCGGGAAAUUGUCAAAUAGACCUAUCAUUUCAACCUCGCGUUCUUCGGAAAUGUCUCCAAAAUCAGCAGAAGUCUUCUCAUCGGUGGCCCAGUUCGGUAAGGAAGAAAUUUCAGGUCCCUUGACGUAAAACCAUUUUUCAUGCCACCCCCUAUUGCUCGAAGGAGUGUUCACCAGCGAACGUCUUUCAAAUUUUUCUCUUGUUCUCAAUUCCUGCUUACUUAUGACUUUAAACCCUCUUUCGCGAGAUUGACCGAUUUUAUAAACAGUAAAAAAGAAGUCAAGAGCGGGUUCGAUUCCGGCUUCAUGACAAAAUGCAAUGAAGGCCAGAAUAUGAAUAUAAGAAUUUGGCGUUAAUUGGGCGAAUCCAACGCCAACAAACCCUAGAAUGGUCACUAGAAACGGGUGUAGAGGGAACCUAACUCCUUUCUCGAGAAUUGUCACUUGGACAGCCGUCCACCCUUUAGGCCUUUGAUACAUUUUUUCCUCAGACCUAGGAACUCUUACCAGAUGAGUGUCCGGAAUAUGACACCGAUCUCGAAUCUUCCAUAAUUCCUUUUCAACGACCGUUGACGGAGUAUUGGCAUGGGGAAAAAAUUCUUUACUCCUGAAGAAUUCAGAAGGAGCAAGUCGAGGUUUAGGAGGCAUUUUCAUUUUAUCUGGAAUGACAGAUUGGGGGUUGGACCUCGAAGUUUCUUUACGGGGACUGGGGUUAGUUGGAACUGUAGUGAGGGGGGUUGCUCGUAUGGGAGAAUUUUGACUGGUGUUUGGGGUUGUCAUCGAUCGUAUUUUGCAGAGACGGUGAGGGAAGCUAUGGAAGGAAGAAGGGAGUUUGAGAGUCCGGAAAUUCAAAUUGGCAGGUAAAACUGUCAUAUUUGGUAAAGUUUAUCUUUUAUACUGACGGUUACACAGUAGUCGAGGGCGGCACAUUAAAUUGGCAGUCAUGAUUACGAAUUUGAAAGGGUUGCGUCCGGAUUGAGCUUUAGAUAUUUAACAGAUUGGGCCUCCCCUUAGAUUUCCGGUCUUGAUCCGUCUUUCCAGUAUCCUUGUUGUUCCCAUCCUUCAUCAGUUGGACCUUGGUAAGUCAUACUUUGGGCCCAUUUCAAUCCUGUUGGAUCUCAUAAUAUCGUGGACCGCUUAUACUUUUCUAUUAAAUAUCCUAUUUAAUAAAAAACUAGGGGGCAAUGUUGGGUCAUGAUAUUUCCUCUAUUGGGCCGGACGGAUUGGGCCUAUCCAUUUAAUUAACCUAUUGGAUCUUUGUUAUUGAGUUUUAUAGUCAUUGGGCUUAAUAUUUAUGUUACCUUUAUCAUAUCCUCAUAAUGAUGGGCUGGGUCUAAGAAUUGAUCCAUUAAAGCUUUUUAUAUCUAAGCCUUUGACUUGUAAUGAUGAAAAAAGAGAGCAGUUGACCAAAAGUCUGCAGAUCAUUAAUGUGGAUGGGAUUUUAUCCAGCCGGCGGCAGGUACAGUAGGAAAAAGGUGACAACCUGCAUGCAUCCGGCUGAGACCAUAGAGGAGUGGGGAGCUGUGUCAGAUUAGGGUUGGUGGCACAAAAAAUCGAGCAUGAGAGUAUAACCUAGCAAGGGAGUCUUCUAACAAAAGGUACGCAUACAUUUUUAUCUCUCUCUAGACGCUAGACAUUUUCAUCCUCCAUUGUUAACCCUUGUGACCGCCUGUACUAACUCUCACGCCGGAGUUAUCCCCCGACGGUCCAGCCGUCAAGCUUUGUGUGUUGAUCGUGUUUACUUUGCAGGAUCUGGACGUCUUAUGUGAUUGGGACGUAGUAGAAGAUCUUGGCGUUAACAUUGGUGCUAGAAGGAGGGCUGAGUUCUAGUGUCCUGAGUAUUUUUCAAUCACAUAUUCCGGUCGUUCUACGUCAGUGAUCAUGGGGAAGAGUAGAACACCUACACCUGAAGGACAGCCGAUAACUGUCAGUGAGACGGCACCAAGAGUGUCUGUAAAGGAUCGUUUGGGACCUACAUUAAGUGUUCAUGCCAGCACAGCGUCCAAACGUUCGCAAGAAGAUUCUCGACAGAAAGUUGUGAGCAAAGCUAAGAGGAAGCUAAUUUUCACGACGGAGAAAGGAUCCAGUCAUGGUCGAAAACGAGUAGAAGGCACCUCGCCUAGAACUCAAUACCGAGACGACCAAGAUGAAAAGGCCUCCCGACUGGUUAAGAUGACAGAAGAAACAGAUAGGGCCAUGGAGGCACUUACGAAGCAAAGGUAGGAUAUAGCUGAGCAGAUGUCUCGGAUGGAAGAGUUGAGAGAUGAAGCGUCCAGUUACGUUCGGUCCGAAGAGUGUGGGCAUCAAAGUGGGAAGGAACCCGCUCAUUCAGGACGUGAAACUCAAGGCCAACAUCGAGAAAGAAGAAGAUCGAGAAGCCCUACUCCUCGAAAAUUGAAGGGAGCGCACCAUCAUGUCGGUUCUAGGGAGCAGGGCCGAGGUGAACAUAGAGGCCGAUCCAGAGAACAUAUUCCCGAGAAUACAAAGAGGGUGCUCGUUAUUGCCCAUUCUCACCACAGUCACCGGACCCAGAGACGAAGCAGAUCUAGGGGUCGUACACCAGAAAGUCCACCUAAGGCACUCCGCUUUGGAGACCGUCAUCAUAAAAGUCCUUCGAAAAUUGGGGGUAUUGUGGUUAAAGACCGAUCUACUCAAAAGAGGAAGGAAUCAUCAGAGAAAGAAGUGUCAUCACAACCAGAAGGAGUGCAGUAUCUGGUAAAAGAAUUGAAGGAGCUCCGAAAACAGUUAGCUGAGGUCCAACAGGUGAAGGAUACUCCGGGAAAGAAAGCAUCCCCAUUUUCUUCGGAUAUUCUUAAGGAGAAGGCAGACACCACCAAGAAGUUGCCUCACAUGGAAAGUUAUGAUGGAUCGGGGGAUCCUUAUGACCAUAGCCAAGCAUUUGACCGGCUGAUGGAUUACUACGAUUUUACUGAUGCUGCUAAAUGUCACACGUUUGUUACGACGUUAAGAAAGGAUGUCAGGCAGUGGAUGGGGACUCUGCCUGCAGAUUCAAUCUUAUCAUGAUCCGAGCUCUGCGACAAGUUCCACGCUCGCUUUGGGAGUAACUAAAUAAGAGGGAAGCCCACGGGUUCUCUGGCACAGGUCAGACAAUACACCAAUGAGUCGUUGGGUCAGUAUGUAAAGAGGUUCCGAGAAGCCGUUGGUCAGGUAUCCGAUUUGAACGAUCUCCAAGCUGUGGGGUUGUUUCAGAAUUGUUUGGACCUAGUAAAGUCUGAGAAGUUGGUGAAGAAGCUGAUGUUUCAUCAUCCGAAGAGUUUAGCAGAAGCUUUUGAUAAAGCGGAAGGUUAUAUCGUAGUGGAAGAGGCUAUGAACAGUCUGAAACGAUCUUCCUUGGACCGAAAUAAGGAGGCGAAUGCUCCUAAAGUCGAUGUCGAGCAGAAGAAAGGGGGGGGGUACAAUGAUCGAUCGGAAGGCAGCUCUAAAAAAUUCAGUAACACUUGGCGACAAGGAGGUAAUCGCCCAUCUGCCCAGAAGGUGAAUAAGGUGUAUACCAAGCUGAACACAGAUAGAUCAGUAAUUCUAGAUCAGAUCAGGGGCCAACCGUUCUUCGAGCCGCCUCAUGAUAACUUCAAGCCAGGGCAAGGCAACACUCGGAAGUAUUGUGGCUAUCAUCAAGCUACGGGUCACGAUACCAAUGAAUGCUGCAAUUUGAAAGAUUUUGUGGAGAGGAAGGUUCAAAGUGGUUUGCUAAUUCAAUAUGUGGCUGGGAGGGAUCAACUGGAGCAACAGAAUGCCGACCGCACGGUUCAGACGGUUCAAACAAAUCCUCCCGUACAGCCUGCCCCGAAUCAGCCACCAAGACAUGUCAUCGACAUAAUAAUAGGGGGGACAUCGGGAAAGUUGGUAGGAAAGAAGAGGAGGGGGUAUCUGGAUUUAGUCAUGUCCGUGGCGGGUGCUCCCCCGAAGAUUGAUAGACCUUUUUUGGGAACUGUUAUAUCCUUUACCGAUGCAGAUUAUCCUUUGGAGCCCAUCGAACCCCAUGAAAGAGCACUGGUGAUCACUGCGCAAGUGGGUUCGGUAGACGUGUAGCGUAUGAUGAUAGACAACGGGUCUUCGGUGGAUAUUCUAUAUGCCCAUGUUUACCAAAGGAUGCAUCUUGAUGGGCGGAAGAUGGAGGUUGGACAGGAGGCUCCUCUGUAUAGCUUCAGCAAUGACCCGGUCAGAGUGGCCGGAACUAUUGAGCGGCCAGUCAUCUUUGGUACCGCUCCACGGCAGAUAGAAAUAACAUGCAAGUUCUAUGUUGUGCAUGUAGAUUCGGCCUACAAUGCCAUUUUAGGAAGACCUACUUUGGCUGCUCUCCAAGCAGUGACUUCCAUUCCUCAUUUUAAGAUCAAGUUCCCUACGGCACAUGGAGUAGGAGAGGUUGCGGGGGAUUUGGAUCUGGCCCGACGCUGUUAUUGGAAUGUUGUCAUUUCCUCGGGAGUUGGGGUCAGCAAGCAUAAGCAAACUAUGGCAAUCGAGAUCGAGCCCUUCAUAGAAAGUAGUUCAAAGCCAUCAGUUAUUCCCGUAGGGGAGACAGAGGAGAUUGAGUUGGUCCUGGGAAAGAAGGAUAAGGCAGUGAAGAUUGGUUUGGGUUUGCCAGAACCUCUCCGGACAAAUCUCAUGGAACUUCUUCAAUGCUAUGCAGACAUCUUUAUAUGGGAACCACAAGAUAUGCCUGGGAUCAACAGAAGAAUCGCUGAGCAUCGUUUAGACGUAGAUCCAUCGAAGAAGCCAGUUCGGCAGAAAAGGCGGAUCUUUGUACCCGAACGUCAAAAGAUCAUCGAUGAGGAAAUUGAAAAGCUGAUAGCCGCCGACUUCAUUUUCGAAAUCGACUAUCCAGAGUGGAUGGCAAAUGUAGUGUUGGUGCAGAAACAGAACGGGAAAUGGAGAGUCUGCAUCGACUACACCGACCUGAACAAAACAUGCCCGAAAGACUACUAUCCUUUACCCCAUAUUGAUCAACGUAUUGAUGCAACUUCGGGAUAUGCACUACUAAGCUUUAUGGAUGCUUUUUUAGGUUAUCAUCAAAUAUCUAUGUGCAAGGAAGAUAUUCCAAAGACAGUAUUCAUCACACACCGUUCGGUGUAUGCCUAUAAGAAGAUGACCUUCGACCUGAUAAAUGCUGAGGCCACUUACCAGAGAAUGAUGAACUUUAUCUUCCACAAGCAGCUGGGAAAGAAUAUGGAAGUAUAUGUAGAUGACAUGAUUGUGAAAAGCAUGAUUGUUCAGAAGCAUCUAGAUGACCUAGAGGAAUGCUUUCAAAUAGUCCGCCAUCACAAAUUGAGGCUCAACCCCACCAAAUGUACCUUCGGACUCGGUGCCAGGAUGUUCUUGGGUUAUCUAGUCAGUCAAAGGGGCAUUCAAGCCAGUUCGGAAAAAAUACAGGCCAUCCNNNNNNNNNNNNNNNNNNNNNNNNNNNNNNNNNNNNNNNNNNNNNNNNNNNNNNNNNNNNNNNNNNNNNNNNNNNNNNNNNNNNNNNNNNNNNNNNNNNNACCCUAAACCCUAAACCCUAAACCCUAAACCCUAAACCCUAAACCCUAAACCCUAAACCCCCUAAAACCACUAAAACCACUAAAACUCCUAAACCCUAAACCCUAAACCCUAAACCCUAAACCCUAAACCCUAAACCCUAAACCUCCUAAAAACCCUAAACCCUAAACCCUAAACCCUAAAACCCCUAAAACCCCUAAAACCCCUAAAACUCCUGAAACUCCUAAAAACCCUACACCCUAAACCCUAAAACCCCUAAAACCCCUAAAACUCCUAAAACUCCUAAAAACCCUAAACCCUAAACCCUAAACCCUAAACCCUCUAAACCUUAAACCCUAAACCCUAAACCCUAAAACCCCCAAAACUCCUAAAACUCCUAAAAACCCUAAACCCUAAACCCUAAACCCUCUAAACCCUAAACCUUAAAUCCUAAACCCUAAACCCCCUAAACCCCUAAACCCUCUAAACCCUAAACCCUAAACCCUAAACCCUAAACCCUAAACCCUAAACUCUAAACCCUAAACCCCCUAAACCCUAAACCCUAAGUCAAAUAAUUCCAUUGUCAGGAGAUUAUGAAGCUCGUGGGACAAGGAUGAUCAAGUAUUUGGCAGAGUUGAAAAACCGACUUCGAUAUUUUAUCUCUUAUGAUUUUCAAGGCACAGAACGUAACGACAAUUCCAUUGCCGAUGCCUUAUCGAAACUAUCCACUACGGAUGCUGUCGUUUUCAAUGGGUCAGUCUAUUUGGAGGUUUUGCAGCAGCCAAGUAUCCAGCAUAAAGCUGUGAUGUGUAUCGAACGAUCUGACUGCUGGAUGACUCCCUACAUCGAAUAUUUGACAGAUGGCGUCCUUCCUUCGGAUCAGAUGCUAGCAAAUAAGAUCAAGUACAAGAGUGCCAACUUCGUUCUUAUUGAUGGGGAUCUUUAUCGAAGGGCAUUUUCGUCACCAUUAUUAAAGUGAUUGGUUCUGUCUGAAGCUGAGUAUGCUCUUCGGGAAGUCCACGAGGGCAUUUGCGGUGAUCACAUAGCUACUAAGUCACUGACAUACAAAGUUCUUCGGCAGGGAUACUACUGGCCAACGAUCUUUAAGGAAGCUACGGAGUAUGUGAAGAAGUGUGAGAAGUGUCAGCUCAACAGUCCGAUCCCACAUCAACCACCUAUACUCAAUUCUAUUUCCUAUACCCUUUGCUGUCUAGGGGGUUGAUAUACUGGGUCCGUUGCCGAAAGAUAAAGGACAGGUCAGUUUUGUCAUAGUUGCUAUUGAUUACAUGACCAAAUGGGUAGAGGCGAAGCCACUUCGGUUGAUAACGGAACAAAAAAAAUCAAGGAAACACAGCCAAAGCCCAACCCAAAGGGUAAAAUAAAAAUGAGCCAAGCUAUUUAUCUAAAUUCUGUGACAAAUUCAACAAAAGAUUUCAGAGAAUCCAGGUAUGAUUCAUGUUGCAUAAAUAAAGCCUCUGGCUUGAAGCUCAAAAUGCUUAUUCCCAAAAUAAAUAUUAAAAAAUAAAUGUUAGAUGUGAUUUUGGAGUGGAAUCUUAAAACUGAGAGUUACAGGACUAAAAAAAGGGGGAAAGAAACAGAAUCCAAGGUAAAGCUACAAUUUUUCCUUUUAUUUCAAGCUCACAAAAGGGAAAAAAUACCUAAAACAGAAAGACGAGUGCUUAAAGGAGUGUGAAACACAAAAUCAAGAACUGAAUGACCCAAAAAGAUAAAAGCUAGACCAGCUGGCAACGAUACAUACACAAACAAAGACAUGCACACACAGGAGGGGGACGAGGAAAAGUGGAGUAUAUAGGUACAUGUCGACCUAAAACCACAUCUAACGAUCAAUAAACCUUAAAAACCCACAAAUGUGGAGAGAGAGAAAGAGGGGUUUUCUUCUUUACCUGAGAUAGUGUGGAGAGAGGGGUUUUCUUCUUCAUUACCUGAGGUAGCGAGAAACGUUUCUGAAUUUCAGUACUUACCCCCAAAGUUUAAGCUAAGAACAAGGGAUAUUUGGGGAUAAAGAAACAUAAGAUAAAAUUUGAAUUUUGGAAGUCUGAAUAGAUAAAUAGAGUACAAAAAGGAGGGAAACGGAAAAGACUAAAUAGUGCAGUUCAUGCCAUUAUCCUACGAGGAUAACAUAUGGCUGAAAAUAUAAACAGAAAGUUUGAACUUUGGAAGUCUGAAGGAUAAAUGGAGUACAAAAAGGAGGGAAAUGGAGUACAAAAAGGAGGGAAACGGAAAGACCGAAGAGUCGCAGCCACAAAGUUAGACUAUACUAUGAAAGUAUACUUUGUGCUUUGUGCAGGAUGCCCUUACCCUGCACAAAGUAUAGUAAAGUACUUCAUAGGGUAACAAGAGGUAGCCACCUAGCUUAGCUGGUAGGAUAGUAAAUAGCGGAUCCGGUUACUAUGAAGUUAUUUUUUUAUAAGUUGGUCAAUUGACCAAUAGAAUUCUAACACACAUACAACAUCGCAUGCGUGUCAGUAUUCUAUUGGUAAAUUGACCAACUUACCUCAAAAUAAACUUCAUACUAACCACUUCCGUAAAUAGCUAAUUGCUGAAAGAAUGGAUGGGUUCAUUAAAAUUAAUUUGAAAUUUAAAACUUAAAAUUUAAAAUUAUACUCACUGUCCUAUAAUAAGUUCUAAUUUAAUUUUAGUGAUCUAGUUAAUUAUUUUUAAAAUAAAUAAUUAAAAAAAUAUAUAUAAAAUUUUUAAAUUGCAAAACUUGUCAUUAUUAGUACAUUAUUCGUAGUUUAUUAUGAUCAUAAUAUUUCAGCGUAUAUCUUGAAUUUUAAAAAAAUAAUAAUUAAUUUGAUCAUAAAAAAUAAAUUAAGACGUUUAUUAUGCAACAGAAGAAUACUAUUUUUCGAGGGCUGAUUGAAAUUGCAUAGGGUCACCAUCCAAUAUGGGUGCACUACAGGGGAAACAGAGAGUUCGAGUAACACCUAGCACAAAAAGCAUGCUAGUGAUGGACACCUUUCAGGAAAUAACAAUGUACGUGGACCUUGGAAGUCUCUUGAACUAACAAGUUCUUCAACAAUGCUACUAGUACAUAAAAAAUGGUUACAUAAUAUUCAUAUACACACAUACAUACUGACAUGCAUAUUGGGGGUCCCCGCCUGAUAUGUGGGACCUGCAAUAUACAUGUGUUUGUAUGUGACCCUUAUUUAUGUGAUAGCAACAUUAUUUUUCCUUUAUUACUUUUGUUUAUCAAUAACAUUUACAGAAACCUGAAAGUAUUAUUAUCUUCAAUAAAGAACAACAAAUCUUAUUUAACUUUUUUUUUUUACAAAAUAGUAAUCUCAUCUUUAUUUAUUAAUGAUGUAGAAAAUUUACCAGCAUGAUUUUAUUAUUAUAUCAUUACAAUCAAACUAGGUAUUUCUUAUUUUUAAGAGAUAUACUUGGAAAAUUAAUAUAUCUUUAUUAUUUCUAAAAUUUACCAUUGAGAUUUUUUUUUUACAGCAGUACAAGUAAGUAUUAUUAUUCUUGUUGUAUUAGACCAAAAAUAUUGUUAUAAAGUAAUAUAUGUCAUUUAAAUAUUAUUAAAAUAAUAAUCAUAAAAUAUUAUUAAAUGUAUUUAUUUCUAGCUUUGUUAUCGGUGUUAAAUUUGCUCUAACGAAUCAAAAGCCAUGUGAUUCCUUUUUUGCUAAUAAUUUAGUGACUUCAUGCAUACCUCCGUAUUAUUUACUCGCUUUUAAAUUCUUUCUGUUUACUUCAUGUUUAAUCCUAUUAAUUAUAAAUUACUCACUUUUCUAUUUGUUCAUGUAAAGAAAUUAAGUUCAGUCAUGUCGCGUCUGACUUGUCCAUCAGUAUUCUUUUCCACUGUACUAGUACAAGCCAUCUCUGAGUCAGCAAGUUUAAUUUGACGAUGGUAUGUUUAAAAUAUAUUUAUUCAAUAAUUUUUAAAAAGUUCUUAAUGAGAUCGUAAUGUACAGGGAUUUAAAGUUAAAAAAAUUAAAUAUGUUAAGUUGAUAUUAUAAAGUUAAAAUGAUGUAUAGAUGAUAAGAUAUAAGUGACCGUAAUAUAAUAUUAAACUAUCUUAAAGCUACAAUGCCUAAUUGUAAAAUGAAAAUGUAAAAACAUAGUAAGCUAUAUAUUCGUAAAGCAUUUAACAGGUGAUCGUAGAGCCUGCAUUCUCAUCAUAUAGUUCACUCAAUAUCGUAUAGUGAACAGCAAAUCACAGAGUAAAGAGAAGUUUACAGAGUGCUCAAGUAUAGUAGAACAAGUCGUUGAGCUAAACGUGGAGCUCAAGUCAUAUAGAAGAAUUAAGAUCAGACUCUAUGAUUAACCCAGCUCGUAAAGUAAGUCAAAACUGAUAGAGGACUGACAAUAAAGAGCAUUGCAAAAUGAGAAACUCAAUGCAAGGAUCAUAUAUUCUUAGUUGAUAUCGAAGUUUAGAAUAUGCUUGUGUCCAACAGCUAGCUUGGCGAAGUGACAACUUCCCCAUGCAGUUGGUGAAUCUGCAGAAUGAUGUGACAUGCUAAAUGUUGGGUCAUGAUAUUUCUUCUAUUGGGCCGGACGGAUUGGGCCUAUCCAUUUAAUUAGCCUAUUGGACCUUUGUUAUUGAGUUUUAUAGUCAUUGGGCUUAAUAUUUAUGUUACCUUUAUUAUAUCCUCAUAAUGAUGGGCUGGAUCAAAGGAUUGAUCCAUUAAAGCUUUUUAUAUCUAAGCCUUUGACUUGUAAUGAUGAAAAAGGAGAGCAGUUGACCAAAAGUCUGCAGAUCAUUAAUGUGGAUGGGAUUUAAUCCAGCCGGCGGCAGGUACAGUAGAAAAAAGGUGACAACCUGCAUGCAUCCGGCUGAAACCAUAGAGGAGUGGGGGGCUGUGUCAGAUCAGGGUUGGUGGCACAAAAAACCGAGCAUGAGAGUAUAACCUAGAAAGGGAGUCUUCUAACAAAAGGUACGCAUACAUUUUUAUCGCUUUCGGAACGCUAGACAUUUUACAUCCUCCAUUGUUAACCCUUGUGACCGCCUGUACUAACUCUCACGCCGGAGCUAUCCCUCGACGGUCCAGCCGUCAAGCUUUGUGUGUUGAUCGUGUUUACUGUGCAGGAUCGGGACGUCUUACGUGAUUGGGACGUGGCAGAAGAUCUUGGCGUUUACAUUAGCGCUAGAAGGAGGGGGAGUUCUAGUGUUCAAGAGUUGGCAAUCACAAAUAUUUAUUUGUUCUACGUUUUCAAAGAUGGGAAAGAGCAGAGCAGAUACACCUGAAGGACAACCGAUGGUUGUUAGUGAAUCAGCACCACGAAUACCUGUUAAGGAGCGUUUAGGACCUACAAUAAGUGUUCAUGCCAGCACAGUGUCCAAACGUUUGCAGAAAGAUUCUCGUCCAAAGGCUGUGGGCAAAGCUAAGAGAAAGCUAGUCUUCACGGCAAAGAAAGAGUCCGGUCACAAUCGAAAACAAGUAGAAGGAACCUCACUUAAGACUCGAUACCGAGAUGACCAUGACGAAAAGGCCUCCCAGCUGGCUAAGAUGGAAGACGAAACAGAUAGGGUCAUGGAGGCACUUAUAAAGCAACGGCAGGAUAUAGCUGAGCAGAUGUCCCGGAUGGAAGAGUUGAAAGAUGAAGCGUCCAGUUACGUUCGGUCCGAAGAGCGUGGGCAUCGAAGUGGGAAGGAACCCACUCAUUUAGGACGUGAAACUCAGGGCCAACAUCGAGAAAGAAGAAGAUCGAGAAGCCCUACUCCUCGAAGAUCGAAGGGAGCGCACCAUCAUGUCGGUCAUAGGGAGCAGGGCCGAAGUGAACAAAGAGGCCGAUCCAGAAAACAUACUCCCGAGAAUACAAAGAGAGCGCUCGUUGUUGCGCAUUCUCAUCACAGCCACAGAAUCCAAAGACGAAGCAGAUCUAGGGGUCGUACUCCAGAAAGUUCGUCGGGGGCACGUCGCUCUGUGGGCCACCAUCAUCGUAAAAGUCCCUCGAAAAUUGGGGGUUCUAUGGUAAAAGAUCGAUCCGUUCAAAAGAAGAAAGACUCCCCGGAGAAAGAAGCGUCAUCUCAACCGGAAGGGAUAGAUUUUUUGGUUAAGGAGUUGAAAGAGCUCCGAAAGCAGUUGGCAGAGGUGCAGCAGGUGAAGGACACCCCGGGGAAGAAAGUGUCUCCUUUUUCCUCGGACAUUCUUAAAGAAAAGGCAGACAUCACCAAGAAGCUGUAGCGCAUGGAGAGUUACGAUGGAUCUGGGGAUCCUUAUGACCAUAGUCAGGCGUUCGAACGGCUUAUGGAUUAUUAUGACUUUAUCGAUGCUGCCAAGUGUCACACGUUUGUCACAACACUAAGGAAAAAUGCGAGGCAGUGGAUAGGAACUUUACCGUCAGAUUCAAUUUCCUCUUGGACCGAGCUCUGUGACAAGUUCCAUGCCCGUUUUGGGAGAAACCGAAGAAGAGGGAAGCCUACAGGUUCUCUAGCACAGGUCAGACAGUUCUCCAACGAAUCUUUAGGCCAGUAUGUGAAGAGGUUCAGAGAAGCAGUUGGUCAGGUAUCCGACCUCAAUAAUCUCCAGGCGGUAGGGCUGUUUCAGAAUGGGCUAGAUCUGGUGAAGUCUGAAAAGCUAGUGAAGAAAUUGAUGUUCCAUCAUCCGAAGAGUCUGGCAGAGGCUUUCGACAAGGCAGAAGGUUAUAUUAUUGUGGAGGAAGCUAUGAAUAGCCUGAAGCGUCCUUCUUCAGACCAAAUGAAGGAGGCAGAUAUUCCUAAGACCCAGGGAGAUCAGAGGAAGACGGGGGGGGUAUAAUAAUCGGUCAGAGGGCAGUUCGAAGAAGUACAACAACUCAUGGCGACAAGGAAGUAGUCGUCUACCUGCGUCAGCCCCGAAGGUGAAUAAGGUUUACACUAAACUAAAUACUGAUAGUUCAGUGAUUUUGGACCAGAUCAGAAACCAGCCAUUCUUUGAGCCACCUCAUGAUAAUAAUAGGACAGGGCAAGGCAACUCUCGGAAAUAUUGUAGCUAUCAUCAAGCCGCAGGCCAUGAUACUAAUGAGUGUUGCAAUCUGAAGGAUUUUAUGGAGAAGAAGACUCAAAGCGGUCUGCUGGAUCAGUAUGUGGCCGGGAGGGACCAACAAGAUCGGCAGAAUGCCGACCGUACUGUUCAGACGGUUCAAAUGGUUCCACCCGUCCAAAAUGCUCCAAUACCACCGCUGAGGCACGUCGUUGAUGUUAUAAUCGGAGGGAUAGCAGGGAAGUUAGUAGGGAAGAAGAGGAGAGGAUAUCUGGAUUCGGUCAUGUCCGUGACGGGUGUUCCCCUGAAGGCCGACAGACCAUUUCCAGGGAAUGUUAUAUCCUUUACCGAUGCAGAUUAUCCUUCGGAGCCCAUCGAGCCACAUAAAGGAGCGUUAGUGAUCACUGCACAAGUGGGCUCGGUGGAUGUGAAGUGUAUGAUGAUAGACAACGGGUCUUCUGUGGAUAUUUUGUAUACCCAUGCUUAUCAGAAGAUGCAUCUUGAUGGGCGAAAGAUGGAGGUCGGGCAAGAGACUCCUUUAUAUGGCUUCAGCAACGAUCCAGUCAAAGUUGCAGGCACCAUCGAACUCCCAGUGAUCUUCGGCACAGCUCCUCAGCAGGUAGAAAUAAUAUGUAAAUUUUAUGUUGUGCAUGUAGAUUCGGCUUACAACGCCAUACUAGGGAGACCUACAUUGACAGCUCUCCAAGCUGUGACUUCCAUCCCUCACUUCAAAAUCAAGUUCCCCACAGCACACGGAGUCGGAGAGGUGGCAGGGGACUUGGAUCUAGCCCGACGCUGUUAUCGAAAUGCUGUUAUUUCCUCCGGAGUAGGAGUCAGCAAACAGAAGCAAACCAUGGAAAUUGAGAUCGAGCCCUUCACUGAAAGCAUCUCGGAGCCAUUAGUAAUUCCUGCAGGAGAGACAGAAGAGAUCGAGUUGGUCCUCGGAAAGGCAGAUAAAACAGUGAAGAUUGGUUCGAGUCUACAAAAGCCUCUUCGGAUAAACCUUAUGGAACUACUUCACUGCUAUGCGGACAUUUUUGCAUGGGAACCUCAAGAUAUGUCAGGUAUUAACCGGAAGAUUGCUGAACACAGACUGGAAGUGGAUCCAUCGAAGAAGCCUGUUCGGCAAAAAAGAUGGAUCUUUGCACCUGAACGUCAGAGGAUCAUUGACGAGGAGAUUGCCAAGCUGAUGGCUGCUGAUUUUAUUCUUGAGAUCGAUGUUAGGUUUGUAAUAUUCAUGAACGCAAUCAAAUUGCACAAAGUAAGCGAAAACGUGGAAAAUCAGAUUUUUAAAAAUUUUACAAACAAUAUACCCGGAUCACCCUUUAUGCACAAUUAUUAAUUAAACGAAAAAGAAAGAACAAGAAUCAUACCUUUGAAGAUCCGAGCUUCCUCAAGUACAAGUUCACCUCCAAUCCUUUUCGCGUUCAACUUGAAUCCACCGGGUUUGGUUCCUUCCUUUGAUCAACAUUAGCCACCUAAGUGUUUGGCCUCUAUAGGUGAUCCACCAAGGAAGAAAAAGAAUUCAAGAAGAUGGAUAUUUGGCAAAACCCUAGUUUUCUAUCUCUAUAGAAAAGACGUACUCUCCCAACUAUUGAAAUUACGUAUGUUGUUAAAAAGCCAACAACCACCUUCACCCAUAAUAAGACUCCUCUUAUUUAUAGAUGUGGGCAACCCUCCUUAACAAUUAAAGAAUUGGGUUUUAUUUUAAUUAAUUAAAUUCUUUUAAUUAAUUAAGCUCCCUAAUCUUAUUAGGAAUAAUUAAUUAAACUCUUUUAAUUAAUUUGCCUCCUAAUCCUAUUAGGAUAUUUGAGAGUACUUUUAUUAAUUAAUUCCCAAACUCCUUUAGGAAUUAAAUAAUAAUAAUAGUAAUAAUAAUAAUAAGANNNNNNNNNNNNNNNNNNNNNNNNNNNNNNNNNNNNNNNNNNNNNNNNNNNNNNNNNNNNNNNNNNNNNNNNNNNNNNNNNNNNNNNNNNNNNNNNNNNNNNNNNNNNNNNNNNNNNNNNNNNNNNNNNNNNNNNNNNNNNNNNNNNNNNNNNNNNNNNNNNNNNNNNNNNNNNNNNNNNNNNNNNNNNNNNNNNNNNNNNNNNNNNNNNNNNNNNNNNNNNNNNNNNNNNNNNNNNNNNNNNNNNNNNNNNNNNNNNNNNNNNNNNNNNNNNNNNNNNNNNNNNNNNNNNNNNNNNNNNNNNNNNNNNNNNNNNNNNNNNNNNNNNNNNNNNNNNNNNNNNNNNNNNNNNNNNNNNNNNNNNNNNNNNNNNNNNNNNNNNNNNNNNNNNNNNNNNNNNNNNNNNNNNNNNNNNNNNNNNNNNNNNNNNNNNNNNNNNNNNNNNNNNNNNNNNNNNNNNNNNNNNNNNNNNNNNNNNNNNNNNNNNNNNNNNNNNNNNNNNNNNNNNNNNNNNNNNNNNNNNNNNNNNNNNNNNNNNNNNNNNNNNNNNNNNNNNNNNNNNNNNNNNNNNNNNNNNNNNNNNNNNNNNNNNNNNNNNNNNNNNNNNNNNNNNNNNNNNNNNNNNNNNNNNNNNNNNNNNNNNNNNNNNNNNNNNNNNNNNNNNNNNNNNNNNNNNNNNNNNNNNNNNNNNNNNNNNNNNNNNNNNNNNNNNNNNNNNNNNNNNNNNNNNNNNNNNNNNNNNNNNNNNNNNNAGUUUGCAUCGACUACACCGACCUGAAUAAAGCUUGUCCGAAGGACUUUUAUCCUUUGCCCCAUAUCGAUCAGCUUAUUGAUGCCACUUCGGGGUAUGCAUUACUAAGCUUUAUGGAUGCUUUUUCAGGUUAUCAUCAAAUAUCCAUGUGCAAAGAGGACAUCCCGAAGACAGCAUUCAUUACCCACCGUUCGGUGUAUGCAUAUAAGAAGAUGACCUUUGGCCUUAUAAAUGCUGGGGCCACUUACCAAAGAAUGAUGAAUUUCAUCUUCGAGAGGCAGCUGGGGAGGAACAUGGAGGUGUACGUGGAUGAUAUGAUCGUGAAAAGCAUGCAGGUUCAGAAGCACUUGGACGAUCUGGAGGAAUGUUUUCAGACUGUCUGUCAUCACAAGUUGAGGCUCAAUCCGGCAAAAUGCACCUUUGGCCUCGGUGCAGGAAAGUUUCUGGGAUAUCUGGUCAGUUAGAGGGGCAUCGAGGCCAAUCCGGAGAAAAUCCAGGCCAUUCUUGACAUGAAGACUCCUCAGUCAUUCAAAGAUGUCCAACGUCUGACUGGCAGGAUUGCAGCUUUGAGGAGGUUCAUGUCCAAAUCUGCAGAGAGAUGUUUGUCGUUCUUCGACACACUGAAGGGGCCGAAAAAUGCGAAGACAUUCCAAUGGACUUCAGAGUGCGAAGACGCCUUCCAAGGCAUAAAGACAUAUCUGUCUUCUGCUCCCCUAUUGGUAAAGCCUGCCCCGGCAGAGACCUUGUAUUUGUACCUUGCAGCGAGUUCGUUAGCGGUUGGAGCAGUACUAGUUCGGGAAGUCAGUGGAAAGCAGCAUCCGGUCUAUUAGGUUAGUCACGUCCUACGAGAUGCUGAAACCAGGUAUCCAAAUAUUGAAAAAUUUGCCUUUGCUUUAAUAAUUGCUAGCCGAAAGCUUCGACAAUAUUUUCAAGGCAGGCUCCUAGUCGUCUACACGGAUCAACCACUGAAGAAGGUAAUGGGUAAGCCAGAGGUUUCGGGGAGAUUAGCAGCAUGGACUAUGGAGUUGUCCCAAUUUUUCAUUGAAUAUCAUCCCCGAACUGCUAUCAAAGGUCAAACCUUGGCCAAUUUUAUGGUGGAGUGUACAUUCACCGAAGCAGAUGCUGAGCUGCCAGAAGCAGAGACGUUCGAUGGGUCCUCUACGAUUUUAUGGUGGAGUGUACAUUCACCGAGCAGUUGCAGUUCUUCAACACGAUCAGAGUGCAUGGACGUUGUAUGUAGAUGGUCCUCUACGAUGAAUGUUAGUGGGACAGGGAUUAUCUUGACAAGUUCGAAGGGAUUCAAGGUACAGAAAGCAAUCAGAUUUGGGUUUAAAGCAACAAACAACAAAGCCAAGUAUGAAGCAGUGCUAGCAGAAGUUCGACUGGCGAAGAGUCUAGAAGUCCAGAAGCUGAUCAUUUACAGUGACUCUCAGUUGGUCGUCAAAAAAUUGUCAGGAGAUUAUGAAGCUCGUGGGACAAGGAUGAUCAAGUAUUUGGCAGAGUUGAAAGACCGACUUCGAUAUUUUGUCUCUUAUGAUUUUCAAGGCAUAGAACGUAACGAAAAUUCCAUUGCCGAUGCCUUAUCGAAACUAGCCACUACGGAUGCUGUCGUUUUCAAUGGGUCAGUCUAUUUUGAGGUUUUAUAGUAGCCGAGUAUCUAACAUGAAGCGGUGAUGUGUAUCGAACGAUCUGACUGCUGGAUGACUCCCUACAUCGAAUAUUUGGCAGAUGGCGUCCUUCCUUCGGAUCAGAUGCUAGCAAAGAAGAUCAAGUACAAGAGUGCCAACUUCGUUCUUAUUGAUGGGGAUCUUUAUCGAAGGGCAUUUUCGUCACCAUUAUUAAAGUGAUUGGUUCUGUCUGAAGCUGAGUAUGCUCUUCAGGAAGUCCAUGAGGGCAUUUGCGGUGAUCACAUGGCUGCUAAGUAACUGACAUAAAAAGUUCUUCGGCAGGGAUACUACUGGCCAACGAUCUUUAAGGAAGCUACGGAGUAUGUGAAGAAGUGUGAGAAGUGUCAGCUCAACAGUCCGAUCCCACAUCAACCACCAGAAGAGCUAUACUCAAUUCUAUCUCCUAUACCCUUUGCUGUCUAGGGGGUUAAUAUACUGGGUCCGUUGCCGAAAGAUAAAGGAAAGGUCAGUUUUGUCAUAGUUGCUAUUGAUUACAUGACCAAAUGGGUAGAGGCGAAGCCACUUCGGUUGAUAACGGAACAAGAGUGUUUGAAGUUCAUGAAAGAAUCCGUAGUGUUUCGCUUCGGAAUUCCUAAAGUGGUGAUAUCGAACAACGGACGCCAGUUUGUGGGAUCGAAAUUUGAAGGAUUUUUGAAAGAGCUGGGGGUUCAACACAGAAAGACUUCAGUGGCUCAUCCACAGUCGAAUGGGCAGGUUGAGGUGACUAACAGAACACUGCUGAACGGGAUCAAACGCAGAUUGGACGAAGCAAAAGGAAGAUGGUCGGAAGAGCUACUCAGUGUAUUGUGGGCUUACCGAACUACACCGAGGACUACGACAGGAGAUUCACCUUUUAGUUGGCCUAUGGUACUGAUGCCUUAGUCCCAGUCGAGAUUGGAUCUCCAAGUCUUCGCGUUAGUCAGUUCAGAGAGAUCUACAAUGACGAAGGACUGAAGGCCAACUUGGAUCUGUUAGAAGAAGUCAGAGAAGUGGCUUUGAUCAAGUUAGCAGCCUACUAGAUGAGAGUUUCCAAACAUUACAACAAAGGGGUAAAGCUCCGUAGAUUCGAAGUGGGGGACUUCGUCCUCAGAGAAGCUGAAGCAUCUACGCCGCAGAACAUGGGGAAGCUGAUGCCGAAUUGGGAAGGACCUUAUGAAGUAAUUGAAGUACCAAAGCCAGGAACUUACUGAAGGCAUUAGAUAGAUCCGAGAUUAAGAACACUUGGCACGCUGGCAGACUCCUGAAAUACUUUUAGUAGAGAUUGAGUCAGUUUAUCGGAAGUCUGUACAUGAUUGAUCACCAUCAAUAAAAAGUCACUUUUUCACAACUGAUCCUCUUCCUAUUUGUCCUAAGAUCACAAUGGUGUAAGGAGGAAUGGUAGGACUCGAUGGCCAUUCGAUGGCAGCCUAAUUAUUUGUUACCCCGUGUGGUAGACAAAUCCUGUGAUCCUUUUAAUAUUGAUUUUACCAAGGGUGGUAAAUCAAUGGGCACCGAAGUAAGGAGGACGGGGUGGACUCGCUGACCAUUCGAUGGUAGCCUCUUCGGCAGGAGUGUCCUUAUGGUUUUGUUAUACCCUGCGCGGUAGACAAAUUCCAUGGUCCUUUUUAAUUUUGAUUUACCCCGAGUGGUAAAUGGGCACCGAAGUAAGGAAGUAUGGUAGGACUCGCUGGCCAUUCGAUGGCAGCCUAAUUGUCAGGAGUGCCCUUAUGAAUUUGUUACCCCGUGUGGUAGACAAAUUCCAUGGCCCUUAUAAAAUUGUUCUACCCCGAGUGGUAAACAAAUGUCCUUAUAUACUUGUUCUACCCCGAGUGGUAAACAAGAUCUUGAUGGUGCAAGGAGGAUCAGCCGAAUUCACCUCACUCAUGACCUGUCUCUCACUUCGGAAACGAUAAGUAUACAUUACUUUAUACAAGUGUUAAGUUCGGUUCGGUUCAUUCAGUUCAUUUCAUUUCUUAACUUAACUGCUAUACACCUUAUCUGAUUUAUAGUUUAAGUUAAGUUCAUUUAAGAUCAUUGAUGCUGAAUUAUUGACAAGAAACGAAGUAAAUAGAAGUCAUAGUAAAGAAAAUUAAAAUUUCAUUAAACACUUAAACAAGUCCACUUAAAUUUCUUUACAAAAUUUUUGCACAAAAUUCUAAAGAUCAGAAGCAGUAAGAUCCUAUUUAUAUAUCAUUUUCAAAAUCGAGCAAAGCAGGAUCUACUUGGGUUGCCACCAGCUUUUCCUUGCAUUGACCUCGGCAGUCUUCGUAUUCUUCCUAGUAUACUUUCAUAAUCUCUUCACCGAGCUCAUCAGAAGUCCGAUAGUCCUCCUGAAUCUGCUUGAGCAAUUCUUCGAUCAUGGGAGGAUCCCAUUCCCGAAGUACCUUAAUCUUACUACGAAGUUUACGGCGCUUAGCCCUGUGGGCCUUCCUAUCAUCCCGAGCCUUUGUAUGAACUUCGCUA
rnacentral:lncRNA from 1 species